UACGUAGGGCGCAAGCGUUGUCCGGAAUUAUUGGGCGUAAAGAGCUCGUAGGCGGCUUGUCACGUCGGGUGUGAAAACCCGAGGCUCAACCUCGGGCCUGCAGUGGGUACGGGCAGACUAGAGUGCGGUAGGGGAGAUUGGAAUUCCUGGUGUAGCGGUGGAAUGCGCAGAUAUCAGGAGGAACACCAAUGGCGAAGGCAGAUCUCUGGGCCGUAACUGACGCUGAGGAGCGAAAGCAUGGGGAGCGAACAGG
rnacentral:rRNA from 1 species